rnacentral:rRNA from 1 species
CUGGCGGCGUGCCUAACACAUGCAAGUCGAGCGAGGAGAUCCUCGGGAUGAUCCUAGCGGCAGACGGGUGAGUAACACGUGGGCAACCUGCCUCAUAGAGAGGAAUAGCCUUCCGAAAGGGAGAUUAAUACCUCAUAACAUUGCAGUUUCGCAUGGAACAGCAAUUAAAGGAGUAAUCCGCUAUGAGAUGGGCCCGCGGCGCAUUAGCUAGUUGGUGAGGUAACGGCUCACCAAGGCGACGAUGCGUAGCCGACCUGAGAGGGUGAUCGGCCACAUUGGGACUGAGACACGGCCCAGACUCCUACGGGAGGCAGCAGUGGGGAAUAUUGCACAAUGGGGGAAACCCUGAUGCAAGCAACGCCGCGUGAGUGAUGACGGCCUUCGGGUUGUAAAGCUCUGUCUUCAGGGACGAUAAUGACGGUACCUGAGGAGGAAGCCACGGCUAACUACGUGCCAGCCGCUGC